rnacentral:rRNA from 1 species
GAGGGUGCGAGCGUUGUCCGGAAUCACUGGGCGUAAAGGGCGCGUAGGCGGUUUCUUAAGCGUGUGGUGAAAGCCCGGGGCUCAACCCCCGGGUCGGCCAUGCGAACUGGGAGACUGGAGCUUGUCAGAGGCAGGCGGAAUUCCGGGUGUAGCGGUGGAAUGCGUAGAGAUCCGGAAGAACACCGGUGGCGAAGGCGGCCUGCUGGGACAGUGCUGACGCUGAUGCGCGACAGCGUGGGGAGCAAACAGGAUUAGAUACCCUGGUAGUCCACGCCGUAAACGAUGGGCACUAGAUGCUUGGGGGAGCGACCCCCUGAGUGUCGGCGCUAACGCAUUAAGUGCCCCGCCUGGGGAGUACGGCCGCAAGGCUG